UUAAGUCCCGUAACGAGCGCAACCCCUAUCCUUAUUUGCCAGCGAGUAAUGUCGGGAACUCUAAGGAGACUGCCGGUGACAAACCGGAGGAAGGUGGGGACGACGUCAAGUCAUCAUGGCCCUUACGGGUAGGGCUACACACGUGCUACAAUGGCAAGUACAAAGGGUUGCAAUACUGCGAAGUGGAGCCAAUCCCAUAAAGCUUGCCUCAGUCCGGAUUGGAGUCUGCAACUCGACUCCAUGAAGUCGGAAUCGCUAGUAAUCGUGGAUCAGAAUGCCACGGUGAAUACGUUCCCGGGCCUUGUACACACCGCCCGUCACACCAUGGGAGUGGACUGCACCAGAAGUGGUUAGCCUAACCUUCGGGAGGGCGAUCACCACGGUGUGGUUCAUGACUGGGGUGAAGUCGUAACAAGGUAGCCCUAGGGGAACCUGGGGCUGGAUCACCUCCUUAUCGAC
rnacentral:rRNA from 1 species